GAUGAACGCUGGCGGCGUGCUUAACACAUGCAAGUCGAACGAUGAAGCCCAGCUUGCUGGGUGGAUUAGUGGCGAACGGGUGAGUAACACGUGAGUAACCUGCCCUUAACUCUGGGAUAAGCCUGGGAAACUGGGUCUAAUACCGGAUAGGAGCGUCCACCGCAUGGUGGGUGUUGGAAAGAUUUAUCGGUUUUGGAUGGACUCGCGGCCUAUCAGCUUGUUGGUGAGGUAAUGGCUCACCAAGGCGACGACGGGUAGCCGGCCUGAGAGGGUGACCGGCCACACUGGGACUGAGACACGGCCCAGACUCCUACGGUAGGCAGCAGUGGGGAAUAUUGCACAAUGGGCGCAAGCCUGAUGCAGCGACGCCGCGUGAGGGAUGACGGCCUUCGGGUUGUAAACCUCUUUCAGUAGGGAAGAAGCGAAAGUGACGGUACCUGCAGAAGAAGCACCGGCUAACUACGUG
rnacentral:rRNA from 1 species